GUUGAAAGGAACUCACAACUUCUCAUACGAAUAUAACAGAUAUCCAAGUCUGAACUUUGAAGAGCUGGUGAAUAGUACAUAAGGAGACUACUGAAGCACAAAGCAUCGAUAUAGAAAUCAUACGAGUAGUUAUAUACUGAACAAUCUACAGAAUAACAAUCUGACUAAUCAUUGAUGUUGGGUUUCUAUCUUACAUACUAUCUAUUUACUCAUGUAUGGAGGAGGCUUUGAAGCUUUGAAGCGUUGUAGCGCAAACAACCAGGAGUUCUCAGCCCCACGCCAUGGAGCAUGCAUAAUUGACCACCAACUUACCAUCAAAACCAAAGUUAUUGUAUAGAUCAAUUACCAACUCAUCUGGAUUUGGUGAGAAGGCGCUGUUGACAUACACAAACAAUGUCUCCCUAUGGAGUUGACGGCGCAAAAAAUCUAUUACUUUGAUGAAUUUGUCAGUACCUGCAAUCUUGAAUUUCGCUUGUUUAAGAAUCGGAGCAUCGCCAGUGGCUCUUAAAUGAACAAUCACUUUUCGAGAAUCGGCAGCCAUAGCUAUGGAGAAUUUGCUGAUUCUUUUGCUCAGUGCGUCCAAAUU
rnacentral:misc_RNA from 1 species